CUGAAAUAUUUGGGUUGUUCUUCUGUCACACAUCCAUAAAGUAAUUUAUCAAUUUGGAAUAAACCAAACUUUGAUUUAUUGCUGAAUGUAUUGGCAUUACCAUGGCCUGUUACAUGAAUGUACUGGAACAGAGCCUCUUUACAUUCACCGUCGAAGCUGCAACCUUGUCGGAGAUAUCAUGGAUAUUCCCACAGACCACCCAUUUUGUAGCAAGCAACAUGCUGUCAUUCAAUUUAGGCAAAUAGAGAAGGAGCAACCUGAUGGCAGAUAAUCAAAGCACACAAGGCCUCAUUUGAUGGAUCUUGGAAGCACAAAUAAGAUGUUUCUAAAUGUUGGCAACUUGGCAGAAAUUAAUACCUUUUUUAAUUAUUAUUAGGAUCAUCGUGGCCUCUCAGGUAAUUCGUAUUCUUUUCUAGUUAUGUUUUCAUUACAAGGAUGAUGCAUUUGCAGGAGAACCCCGUUGAAUAUCAAUGAUAUUAUGAAUUAUUGGAAAGGACACCAUUUAGUUCAGUAACAGCAAGUAGGUCAUCAAUCAAUGCCUGACUAUUUUGUGGCUUGUAAUGUGUGAGUUACCUCGUCAAAUCUGCACAUAUCGCCAUCCUUUGUCCACGUAGUUGAAGCAGCUAUUGUGAUCUUUUGGCUGUUUUAUCAUGCGUCUUCUCUGUCGUAUUCGAUGUCUGUAACUGCUGCUGUCUUCUCUGGAUCAUGAACAUCUGUUUUAUGUGGCUUGUAUAGCAUAAAUUCUUAGCAAUUUAAUAUUCUUGAUCUUUUAGCUGAAUUUAAGAAACAACUGUUGUAAACUUGCAACAUGAUGUGUGAAUUCUUAGCAAUUUAUUAUUCUUGAUCCUUUAGCUCAAUCUCAGAAACAGCAGUGGUAAACUUGCAAGAUUAUUUCAUCUGUUUGGAGAUUGAAUUCUUGUCCUGCUAAACUGCUCCAAAUGCUUUUUUGGGUUGUCAAUGCCUAUAGUUCAACUGCUUCUUGUCUGAUUCUUGCAGCCGGGAAUAUGUAUUGUUGCAAGAGAACUCUGCAGGCUGAUGACCAUGGUUUUAUUCAUAUAUAUAUUCCAGCACAUUCCUGCUUCCCAACAAAAACUGAGAUGUUCUUCUAGUUAAUGAUGGAGGCGUGGUCAUUGUAAAGAAUCAUUUUAUGAGGGCCCAUGGCAAACCUUAUCCGUAUUGUUGGUUCCUAGCACAAGUACUCUACCUUGCCUGUA